AUACGUAGGGGGCGAGCGUUGUCCGGAAUGAUUGGGCGUAAAGGGCGCGUAGGCGGCGCGGUAAGUCUGGAGUGAAAGUCCUGCUUUCAAGGUGGGAAUUGCUUUGGAUACUGCCGCGCUUGAGUGCAGGAGAGGUUAUCGGAAUUCCCGGUGUAGCGGUGAAAUGCGUAGAGAUCGGGAGGAACACCAGUGGCGAAGGCGGGUAACUGGACUGCAACUGACGCUGAGGCGCGAAAGUGUGGGGAGCAAACAGGAUUAGAUACCCUGGUAGUCCACACUGUAAACGAUGAAUGCUAGGUGUAAGAGGUAUCGACCCCUUUUGUGCCGGAGUCAACACAAUAAGCAUUCCGCCUGGGGAGUACGGCCGCAAGGCUAAAACUCAAAUGAAUUGGCGGGG
rnacentral:rRNA from 1 species